UGGGUGCAAGCUUUCAUUUAAGAUGACAAAAAUGUUUUGGAACUAGAUAGAAGUGAUGGUUGCACAACAUUGUGAAUGUAUUAAUGCCACUGAAUUGUUUACUUUGGCUAAUUUCACAAAGGUUUGUAGCAGGUGAAUUGACAUAAUACAAUUUCUGCCAGUGCUCUGAAUGUCAACAUGAAGAAAUUCAAUGAAGGGUGGGUAACCAUGUGGGAGUAAUUUUGACUGUCUUAAGGUAGCUAAAUGCCUCAUCAUCUAAUUAGUGAUGCACAUGAAUGGAUGAAUGAGAUUCCCACCACCCCUGCCUACCAUCCAGGGAAACCACAGCCAAGAGAAUGGGCUUAG
rnacentral:ncRNA from 1 species